GACGAACGCUGGCGGCGUGCUUUACACAUGCAAGUCGAACGGUGAAGGUGGAGCUUGCUCCGCCGGAUCAGUGGCUAACGGGUGAGUAACACGUGGGCAACCUGCCCAUAACUUUGGGAUAACUACUCGAAAGAGUUGCUAAUACCGGAUAUGAUGUCUGUAGGCAUCUAUGGAUUUGAAAAGUUUUUCGGUUAGGGAUGGGCCCGCGGCCUAUCAGCUUGUUGGUGAGGUAGUGGCUCACCAAGGCGACGACGGGUCGCCGGCCUGAGAGGGCGACCGGCCACAGUGGGACUGAGACACGGCCCAGACUCCUACGAGAGGCAGCAGUGGGGAAUAUUGCGCAAUGGGCGAAAGCCUGACGCAGCAACGCCGCGUGCGGGAUGAAGGCCUUCGGGUUGUAAACCGCUUUCAGCAGGGAAGAAGCGAAAGUGACGGUACCUGCAGAAGAAGCACCGGCUAACUACGUGCCAGCCGCCGCAGUAA
rnacentral:rRNA from 1 species